UACGUAGGGUGCAAGCGUUGUUCGGAAUUACUGGGCGUAAAGGGAGCGUAGGCGGGAGAGUAAGUUAGGAGUGAAAUUCAUAGGCUUAACCUGUGACAUGCUUCUAAUACUGCUUUUCUUGAGUAUGGAAGAGGGCGAUGGAAUUCCAGGUGUAGCGGUGGAAUGCGUAGAUAUCUGGAAGAACACCAGUUGCGAAGGCGGUCGCCUGGUCCAAUACUGACGCUGAGGCUCGAAAGCUAGGGGAG
rnacentral:rRNA from 1 species